ACCCACAGAACUCAAGAACAAAACACAUUACAACAAGAAGAAACACUAAACACUGAAAAACCAAAUUAGAAAAAGAUCAAACCAUAACAUGUCUUAUCUUGAAAUUGACCUCAGGCUUCCCUGGAACUUAGAAUGAAAUUGGUAUUUGCCCUAGGUGUGUUGUUGGUGUACGUGGCCUCGUCAUGUUUGGUUACUGGAAUGUUUAAGGGCUGGUCUGUGUUUGGUUCAGCAGCUCCACACAGAAGGGCAGAGGAGAUCAUUCUGCUGCAGGUUACCAUUAUUAUCUUUACACCCGGGACAUCUUCACCAUGAACCUGCUGACUGCUUCUCUGGUGUUCUGUGCCAUGAUGGUUCUCACCCAAGCCUUCAUUGUCCUCCAGGCUGGAUAAAGUACGAUAUUCGUUGUCUGCUCUACGUUCCAGAAACUAGGACUUGGUCUGAUGCUGAGAGUCACUGUCGGUCCAUGAAUGGAGGCCUUGUAGCUGCACUAAGAAGAAUUCUCAGAAAAUAUCGAUGACAUCAUGAAGCAUAUUGGUCCUGAGAUUC